rnacentral:tRNA from 1 species
GUCACUCAGUAGGAGAGUGCUUGCCUAAAAUGCAUGAGGCCUUAGGUUCAAUUCCUACC